AAUUGUUACGGCUCUUGUAGAAUUUGUCUAGCAGGUUUUCUGGUUCCCACCAGAAAACUUCC
ensembl:snRNA U7 U7 small nuclear RNA